rnacentral:rRNA from 1 species
GAUGAACGCUGACAGAAUGCUUAACACAUGCAAGUCGAUGGGGAAGUGGUGCUUGCACCAUGGCAACCAUGGCGGACGGGUGAGUAACGCGUAAGGGACUUACCUGCAGGACUGGGAUAACAGGGGGAAACUCCUGACAAGACCGGAUAAUGUCAUGGAGCUGCAUGGCUUUAUGAUGAAAGGAGACGCCUGCGGAGAGCCUUGCGUCCUAUUAGCUAGUUGGUGAGGUAAUGGCUCACCAAGGCGAAGAUAGGUAGCCGGCCUGAGAGGGUGGACGGCCACAAGGGGACUGAGAUACGGCCCUUACUCCUACGGGAGGCAGCAGUGGGGAAUAUUGGACAAUGGGGGCAACCCUGAUCCAGCAAUUCUGUGUGCACGAAGAAGGUUUUCGGAUUGUAAAGUGCUUUCAGCAGGGAAGAAGUAAGUGACGGUACCUUCAGAAGAAGCGACGGCUAAAUACGUG